rnacentral:rRNA from 1 species
UACAGAGACUGCAAGCGUUAUUCGGAUUCACUGGGCGUAAAGGGUGCGCAGGUGGCCAGGUAAGUUUGGUGUGAAAGCUCGGAGCUUAACUCCGAAAAGUCAUUGAAUACUAUCUGGCUGGAGGGUCGGAGGGGAGACUGGAAUUCUCGGUGUAGCAGUGAAAUGCGUAGAUAUCGAGAGGAACACCAGUGGCGAAGGCGAGUCUCUGGACGACUCCUGACACUGAGGCACGAAAGCUAGGGGAGCAAACAGG